CACUUUAAAGCCACUUUAAGGCUAGAGGCGUAAGCGGUCGAGGGGCUUGUCUGCGCAGUUGACCCGAGUAGCUAUUGCCAGGUAAAUUAUUCCACAGUAGCCGCGCGGGUGGAUGCUCUCACUCUGGACGAGCUAGCAGUUUACAGAGGGGUUUGUUCGUUAAAUGUGUGAGUCUCUGAGGUGCCACAAGGACUCCUCGUUGCUCUAGCCCUUUAAAUUCACUCCCUGCCUUACACUGGACUAGCUUCCCCAUGCAGACAAGGCCUUUGUAUAAAACAGAAUCUCUCCCAUAGUAUUUUGUGCCCCCUUUGCACCAGUGCCAAUGAGAUCACAAGGUUCAGGGCCCCUUUAGACCCUCAUCAUUCCUGCAAAUCGCUGGUGGAACCGCCCUGUCCUGUCACAGCUGCUGGGUCCCUACCUUGGUAUGGUUGCUAAGGCUCCCCGGGCUGCAUGCAUCACUGCAGCUGCCAGCUCACAGGAAGAGGGAUGGUUUCGGUUCCCUGUGUGGCUGAGGAAUGGAAACCGCCCAGCCUCUGUGCAGACGGGGGAGGAGACCAGUCAACUCGCAUCAGAGGCAACAGGCAGCACCAGCGUGGAGACACAGCUCCGUCAGCUCGGAUCAGAAUGGAUUGUGCCGGCGACAGCGCUGGCCAACUGCCAGCCAUCCUGGAGUCUGACAGUGAGUCCUCGGAGGAUGAAGAAGUGGCUACGCAUGAAGCCCUCCUCCAGGAGAGGGAUGAAGCUAAAGAGAAGCUGUCUGAGUUUGAGCAAGCAUCCCAGAGGCUGCUGGCUGAGCUCUCGGCGCUGGAGGUGGAGUAUGAAAUUGAAAUAUCGUGUCGCAAACAAGCCGAAGUCUACGCAGCCCAGGUGAACAGGGAGAACAAAAAGCUGAAGCGGAUCAGCGUGGCACUGCUGCCCAUGUUGAACCAGCUUCCCGAGGAUGUGCUGAGUCUGGCCACUGAAGUAGACUCCCCCUCGGACCCAAGCCGAGAUCCAGCAUAUCCGUACCUGCAGCAGAUCAAAGAUUUGCAGGAAAAGGUUUCCAGGCUGCUGGGGGAGAAGAAGGAACUCACCAUCCAAGUGCAGGAGCUGCAGAGCCAGAUCAGAGACCUCGGGGAGCAGGUGGAAGAGGAGCGAGCAGAGAGGGGGUCCCUGCAGGCCGCGAUGGACAGGAGUCACAAGGCCCUGAAGAAGUACAAGAGAGUGUCCCAGAUGGUCGCUCAGGAGUACAGCGAGGCCGUGCAGCAGCUGGAGCUGGAGCAGGACCUGAGGCAGCAUGCAGAGACCUUUGCCCACAAGAUGCUGGUGAAGCAGAAGGAAGCCAACAGGCAGAGCAUGAUCCUGCUCCAGAACAUGGGACCCAACGCCCAGCUGCUCCAGGCCCUGGAGGAGGUGGCUAGCCUGACUGGGAUGCUGGAGGAAGCCAAGCAGGAGCACCAGAAAAAGGUGAAGGGUCUGGAAGAGCAGCUAGAGGAGAGCCAGGAGGAGCUGGGCGCAGUGCGAGCGGCCCUGGCUGCAGCUGAAGCAGAGAAGCUGGAGCUGGGGAAGCAGCUGCACCAGGCGGAGGAGAGGAACAUGGAGUUGGAGGGGAAAGUGACGUUACUAGAAGAGAAAUUGGAGGCAGCUGAAGCCCCGCCUUCUGAACCUGAUUCGCCAGAAGUGGCUCCGCCCCCACCCCCGCCACCGCCACCUCCACCUCCUCUGCCACCGCCAGCAUCUUCCGCCCCCGUGGAUCCCCUUUUGAUGAUCAAGCAAAGGAAGGGGAUACGGCAACAGAAACCCAGCGAACCUGCUACCGAUGACAUAAAAGCUCAAGCAGUGGAGGAAAUGAUGGCCAGGAUCAAGAGCGGGGUUGCCCUGAGACCAGCAAAGAAGGACAGGGCUGCAUUGUCCCAGGAUCGCUCAACAGCUGCCAGCAAACGCAAGAGCACCGUGAUGGAGCUGCAAGGGAUCCUGGGCACAAUGAAAAGGCCGGUCAGAAAACAGAGCUGGCGUAAACACAGCCGAAAGAUCAACGAUGACCAGCUGCAGUCCAUCCUGCAGAGACGGCGCAAGAUGGUGGACUCCUCCACUCCCGCCCAGCUCUUGCCGCUGCGGGCGGAGCUCAGAAAAGAGGUGACAGUGAAACUUGCAAAGCUGUGUCCAGCCCAUGCCCAGAGGAGAAUGCAGCUGUUGUCCAGUUAAGAGCAAGAUCAGUGCACCUUCAGAAAAGCAGGCGAAUGGCUCUCCUGAAUGAAGCAGAGGACAAGCCGGCACAGAGCGAGACUACCUGAAAACCAGCCAUCCUGCUGCACCACAAUACACUGCAUGGCCGCCUGGUCUCGCACCCUGCCAAUGCUCCUUGCAGUACCUGCCCCACCCGCGUAUCUUUCAGUCACGCAAACGUUCAGAGCAUGAGCUCGGCCUGAGGAUGCGGUUCUCGAAUUGGGCUUGUUAGCGCAAAGUGCAGCCAGAUGCACAGCCUGCUUGCUUGCGCAUACUAGCUUGCUCCACUUGCCUUGGUGGUUGCUGGGAGGUGUGGUCAGGAAUCUUAACACUGACAAGCUUCAUAUUGUGGUCCUAGAGUAGAUUUGUCAUUGGCCAGUGGAACGUGGUUUGUACGGCUCAUCCAUCCCUGUGGAUCAGAUUAUCCCAUUAGCUAGCUCCUCUUUCAACGGCCAAACAUAAUUUCACACUCUUCCUGAGGACUGAUGGGCUGCAGCUUAUGGGAGCAUCCGUUCGAGUCCAUUCUUUUCUAACUGAGCUGCUGUGACAAUAACAGAUCCAUCAAUAACAACAUUCAGCCCUGGCAAGGUGUCCUGUCUUUAUCCUCCCCACUGGCAAGAUGGCAAUUUGUUUUUCUUUCUAUGCAGAAGGUUAAUGUGGGAAGCAAAUUGUUUUGAUGCAUCCACACACAGAGAUUGUGCCAAAAUAUCAUGUGGUUCACAAUAAAACCUUGGUAACAGGCACCUUCAAAAUUGGAGAAGCUCAGAUCUGGAGCCAUGCAUUGGCGCUCUGGCACAUCUCUAGAUCUAAUGAUCAGAAGUGGAGUUGGGAGCUCCAGAUCAGUCCUUUAGAAGAGAAUUUCACUGGGGACCUUAGCAGGACAUCUAUCUGUCAUGCUCAAAUCAGCCCUAAGUUGCAGUGUAAGUGCCUGGAUGGUGGAUUUGAUGAAUGGGCAUUUACUUGUUUAGCUGCUGAGCUGAGCAUCUUGGGGGAUCUGAGUGUCCUUCUAAGAAGCCCCACAUUUGAAAUUUGAGCUCUGUACCUUUUAACUAGACAA